rnacentral:rRNA from 1 species
GCAUAUCAAUAAGCGGAGGAAAAGAAACCAACAGGGAUUGCCCCAGUAACGGCGAGUGAAGCGGCAAAAGCUCAAAUUUGAAAUCUGGCUCCUUAGGGGGUCCGAGUUGUAAUUUGUAGAGGAUGCUUCGGGUGCGGCCACGGCCUAAGUUCCUUGGAACAGGACGUCACAGAGGGUGAGAAUCCCGUCUUUGGCAGUUGGCCCGCGCCCGUGUGAAGCUCCUUCGACGAGUCGAGUUGUUUGGGAAUGCAGCUCUAAGCGGGUGGUAAAUUUCAUCUAAAGCUAAAUAUUGGCCGGAGACCGAUAGCGCACAAGUAGAGUGAUCGAAAGGUUAAAAGCACCUUGAAAAGGGAGUUAAACAGCACGUGAAAUUGUUGAAAGGGAAGCGCUUGCGGCCAGACUCGGGCGCGGGGUUCAGCGGGUGCGCGUCACCCGUGUACUCCCCGCCGCCCGGGCCAGCAUCAGUUCUGACGGCCGGUCAAAGGCCCCCGGAAUGUAUCGUCUCUCGGGACGUCUUAUAGCCGGGGGUGCAAUGCGGCCUGUCGGGACUGAGGAACGCGCUUCGGCUCGGAUGCUGGCGUAAUGGCCGUAAGCGGCCCGUCUUGAAACACGGACCAAGGAGUCUAACAUCCACGCGAGUGUUCGGGUGUCAAACCCGUGCGCGCAGUGAAAGCGAACGGAGGUGGGAGCCUUAGGGCGCACCAUCGACCGAUCCUGAAGUCUUCGGAUGGAUUUGAGUAGGAGCGUGGCCGUUGGGACCCGAAAGAUGGUGAACUAUGCCUGAAUAGGGUGAAGCCAGAGGAAACUCUGGUGGAGGCUCGCAGCGGUUCUGACGUGCAAAUCGAUCGUCAAAUUUUGGGCAUAGGGGGCGAAAGACUAAUCGUAACCAUCUAGUAGCUGGUUCCUGCCGAUGA